AACGACUCUCGGCAACGGAUAUCUCGGCUCUCGCAUCGAUGAAGAACGUAGCGAAAUGCGAUACUUGGUGUGAAUUGCAGAAUCCCGUGAACCAUCGAGUCUUUGAACGCAAGUUGCGCCCGAAGCCAUUAGGUCGAGGGCACGCCUGCCUGGGCGUCACGC
rnacentral:rRNA from 2 species